UUAGAGUUUGAUCCUGGCUCAGGAUGAACGCUAGCGGCAGGCCUAAUACAUGCAAGUCGGACGGUAAACGCCCCUUCGGGGGUGUGAGAGUGGCGCACGGGUGCGUAACGCGUAUGCAACCAGCCCCCGUCAGGCGGAUAGCCGGUGGAAACGCCGGAUAAUACGCCAUGCGCCCGUUGGGGGGCAUCCCCCAGCGGGCAAAGCGGAGACGCGGAGGGGGACGGGCAUGCGUGCCAUUAGCUUGUUGGCGGGGCGACGGCCCACCAAGGCGACGAUGGCUAGGGGAUCUGAGAGGACGGUCCCCCACACUGGUACUGAGACACGGACCAGACUCCUGCGGGAGGCAGCAGUAAGGGAUAUUGGGCAAUGGGGGGAACCCUGACCCAGCCAUGCCGCGUGAGGGAAGUAGGCCCUACGGGUCGUGAACCUCUUUUAUUCGGGGACAAGGGCGCGGUCGCGAACCGUGCUUGAGGGUACCGAAGGAAUAAGCGUCGGCUAACUCCGUGCCAGCAGCCGCGGUAAUACGGAGGACGCGAGCGUUAUCCGGAUUCAUUGGGUUUAAAGGGUGCGCAGGCGGCCUGUCAAGUCAGCGGUGAAAGCCCGGGGCCCAACCCCGGAAGUGCCGUUGAUACUGUCGGGCUGGAAUGCGGUCGAGGCGGGCGGAAUGUGGCGUGUAGCGGUGAAAUGCGUAGAUAUGCCACAGAACGCCGAUAGCGGAGGCAGCUCGCCAGGCCUGCAUUGACGCUCGGGCACGAAAGCGUGGGGAUCGAAGCAGGAUUAGAUACCCUGGUAGUCCACGCCGUAAACGAUGGGCGCUCGUCGUCGGCGAUAGAAUGUCGGCGGCCAAGCGAAAGCGAUAAGCGCCCCACCUGGGGAGUACGGUCGCAAGGCUGAAACUCAAAGGAAUUGACGGGGGCCCGCACAAGCGGUGGAGCAUGUGGUUUAAUUCGAUGAUACGCGAGGAACCUUACCCGGGCUUGAACUGCACCGGAACGAGGGAGAGAUCCCGAGGCCCGCAAGGGCUGGUGCAGAGGUGCUGCAUGGUUGUCGUCAGCUCGUGCCGUGAGGUGUCGGCUUAAGUGCCAUAACGAGCGCAACCCUUGCCAUUAGUUACCAGCAUGUAAUGAUGGGGACUCUAGUGGGACUGCCACCGUAAGGUGUGAGGAGGGGGGGGAUGACGUCAAAUCAGCACGGCCCUUACGUCCGGGGCGACACACGUGUUACAAUGGUGGGUACAGAGGGCAGCUACCUGGUGACAGGAUGCAAAUCUCGAAAACCCAUCUCAGUUCGGAUCGGAGUCUGCAACUCGACUCCGUGAAGUUGGAUUCGCUAGUAAUCGCGCAUCAGCCAUGGCGCGGUGAAUACGUUCCCGGGCCUUGCACACACCGCCCGUCA
rnacentral:rRNA from 1 species